GUGUCAGCCGCCGCGGUAAUAUGGAGGGGGCUAGCGUUGUUCGGAAUUACUGGGCGUAAAGCGCGCGUAGGCGGCGAUUUAAGUCAGAGGUGAAAGCCCGGGGCUCAACCCCGGAAUAGCCUUUGAGACUGGAUUGCUAGAAUCCUGGAGAGGUGAGUGGAAUUCCGAGUGUAGAGGUGAAAUUCGUAGAUAUUCGGAAGAACACCAGUGGCGAAGGCGGCUCACUGGACAGGAAUUGACGCUGUGGUGCGAAAGCGUGGGGAGCAAACAGGAUUAGAUACCCUGGUAGUCCACGCCGUAAACGAUGAUAACUAGCUGUCCGGGCUCAUGGAGUUUGGGUGGCGCAGCUAACGCAUUAAGUUAUCCGCCUGGGGAGUACGGUCGCAAGAUUAAAACUCAAAUGAAUUGACGG
rnacentral:rRNA from 1 species